CAACAACAACAACAAAAAAAGGCAUGCAGAGCUAAUUUUUUUUUAAUAUCCACACAUCUAAAAGUUGAAUAAUUAAAGAAAAAUUAAUCAGCACUGAUUGACUCUGGAAGAGUAUUAAAUUAGCUUUCUCUUUGAAGUAGACCUCAGGCUUAACUUACCUCAAGCUCUUUUGAUUCUGAGAGCCUAUAUGCCUAUACUGUAUAAGUUAAACAGUGCAUCAGUCCUUUCUAUCACUUUAAAUUCAGACUAGGACUAAAAAAUUUUAGUUAGAAAUUACAAGUUUAUUUUUAUAUUUUGAAAAAGGCAUAAUAGAAAACAAAAAUAAACAACCAGGCAUAUCAAUAUUUGUGACAUACACAUACACACAAAAAUGAAUAUAGGAAAUAACACGAAGAAAAAGCAUAGUAUGUUUUGAAACCAACGUGGGGUAUGAACAGAUUUUUGAUGAAAUACAACUAAAGGUUUUAAGUGUCUAUGUAAUGUUCGAGAUAUUACGAUCACUCUUAUCCUACUAGCAAAAAUUAGCAAACUAGGCUUUAAAACAUGAUUCCUGUUGUUUUAGCAGGAUUUAUUUUGGUAAUGAUCCUGCUUCCUUAUAAACAACUACUUAUCAUUGUUGAAGUCUUCUUGUGUUAAGGAGUACAAUGAGGCCAGGCGUGGUGGCGCGUGCCUAUAGUCCCAGCUACUUGGGAGGCUGAGGUGGGAGGAUCACUUGAGCCUGAGAGGUCAAGGCUGCAGUGAGGUCAAGAUUGGGCCACACCACACUCUCAGCAACCUGGGUGACAGAGUGAGAUCCUGUCUUUAAAAAAAAAAAA
rnacentral:lncRNA from 10 species